AAUGACAUGUUAAUAUUAUCUAUGACUUAUAAUAAUUAUAUUUAUUUUGUUAUUUAUUUUUCAGUUACAUUUUAAUCUAGUUCAGAUGAACUCUACAGUGUUGUAGCCUACAUGUGGUCCAUGGACCACGGGUUUGACAUUUCUGUUAGAGAAGAACCUUUUGAAUUGACAUCCCAUGGCUUGGGCAUUGCAAGACAUUUGGACUGGCACUGACUAAAUAAAUUGAAGAAGACAUUAACA
rnacentral:lncRNA from 1 species